AACUGAUAGACAUGAUGUGUUUCUCACAUUUUUGAGGCAUGUUUACUAUGAACACAGAUCAGAUUCUUGAUAAGGAGUGCUCCUCCCCUUUCUUAGCGAGACAUUUAAAUGAUGAAGAAGCAGAACAAUACACAGAUGACACAAGAUCACAACACAGCCACAAGCCAUUCCACCAUUCUCUCCGUGACUUUUUCAUGAGAAUCUCGUUCACCAAACUGCAAACAUUUUGAGCACAAGACACCAGAACAUAUUCAAAGGCAUUAAAUAAACCUCAGAAGAUGUCUUCAUUACUAUCCACAAUCAAGAGCAUCCUGAUCAAAUCUCCUUUUUUCAGCACUUUGCCAGCAAACAUUUUGACAGUUCCAUUGGAGAUGUUGGCAGAUUACAAAUUUUCAUGUCCGUGUGACUCUGGGAUGAAUACAACACUAACAGGCCUAGUCUUUAGUGCACCUGCAUUUUAUAUUUUAGCUUUAAUGCUCUCUCUCUAUUUUCACAAUGCUCAAUCUGAAGAGGAUGAGAAAAGAAAAGAGAAAAAAGCAAAAUUACAAUCUUUAUUACAUUUUCUCAUGUAUCUGUUUCCGCCUAUCCUGUGGAUCAUUAUGUUGCUGAUAGAUGGGGAUUACAUGGCCUGUAGUAAAACAGACUGGAAAGGAGAGUAUGUUCUUGAUGACAAACUACAAAGAAAAUGGUGUAAACCUACCGAAUUGAUCCCUGGAAGAAAUGAGACUGAACUGCAAAUCCUGACUCUCUCUUUUAUUUAUAAGUCACAGCAUGAUGGCUAUGUUGUGCUUCUUACCUACAGCAUUUUUAUGGUAUUAGUUUUGUUAUGCUGUAUCUACUGUUACUGCAGUGAAGGCAAAAAAUAACUGUGUGGUUCUGUCAUCAUUUAAUCACAAUUGUUAUUCCAAACCUGCAUGACUUUUGUGUGAACUAUGACUUUCUCACAUUGUUCUUAAAGGCAAAGUUCUUUACUUUCUUUUUUCCUUCAUACUUGAGUAGUUAUCACUGUAACUUCCUGAUGCUAAAUACUUUUGUAAUCAGCAGACACAUAUUCCUUUAGUGCUUAGAAUUCGUUUGAUUUUCUGACUUUUUGCUUCUACACAACUCAGAUAUUGUGUAAGGAAAAUUAUUGAAGAUAAGUUACAUGUGAAUAUUUUGCUUGAACGCAAUUAUAAAAGAAAGUCUCUUUGGUUAUAUAUGAUUUGCUGAGAACUUUUUCUAUUUUUCAAUGGAGAAACAAACAAACAAGCAAAACAUAAAUAAAUAAUUGUUAAAACAAA